rnacentral:lncRNA from 1 species
AGGAACAGUAUUCAUUUAUCGACAUAACCCAUACCACAUUGAUAGCAAACUACUCCCACUGUAUAAAGAUGGGUGUCAACCUUAAAAUGGGCACAGCCUACGAUAUUACCGGUAGAGUAAACAGCAUUUGGGGAUUACCCAGGGAAAACUCACGGCAAGCGAAGUAAAAGUAUUUAAAAAAAAACAAAAAAUUCCGACUUUCAAAACAGUCAUAAACAGAGUAGUAAUGAGCCUCAUCAUUUUAAACCAAAAUGCCAGGGUAAGCUAAUCUAUUACUUAGCUUUUAUCGUCUUCAAUAGAGGCAAUACAUCAAAUAAAGGAAGAAAUAUGGCCAUAGGUGCAUUGAUUGGAGGGGGAGCUGGAGCCACUGUAGGAUCAAUUGCUGGACCUCCUGGCACUCUGGUCGGUGGAUUGGUUGGAGCUGGUGUUGGUGCUGUUGUUGGGCUUAUAGCAUAAUAAUAAAUUCUUCUUAAAUAUACAUUAUGCUUGUGUUAUGUUCUUAAUAUUUUGGUUUCAUUUUUUACAAAGAGUAUGACAUAAGAUGAAUGUACUAUACAAAUGUAUGGUUCCAUCAUGAGGUUUAAAAACAAUGUGAUUUUCAAAGGUUUCCAAAAGAUUAAAGUGACAUUGUCGAGAGUCAUGCAAGCUUCCCCUAUCACGUGAGCAAUAUUAAAAUCAGCUGACACAAAUGAUAACAAAAUAUGCAAAGAGGAGGGAAAGCACCUUAGUUCAAGCAAUACAGAAGAAGAGACGCUGAAGAAACUAAUAAAGUACAAGGAAAAGAACUAGUAUUUUGAUAACAGCAAGCCAUUAAAAUGCCACCUCGCAAGAAUAAAAGAAACUACACCAAAUGUGAAAAGUUCUUGAUACGUAUAACAUGUGGUUUGGCUUCUUACUGCAUUUAACAAAAGCAGAACCUAUAACAGUGUCAUGGGGUCCUGAUAAUAUGAAUGCUGAUAAAAAAUAUCAGUGCUUAUAACUUUUAUAUGAUUUUUUUAUCCUUGCUGCUAUUUUAUAAUUGUAACAAAAGUUUUGCAUUAGUCAAAAUUUCAUGCUCAAGUUAAAUUGUUUCUGGCAGCUACUGCACAAAUGAUAUUGAAUUUCUAGCAAUGAAAGAAUACACAUGCAAUCAGGUUCUAGCACAAACACAGACACAAUCUCUCAAAUACAACACACACGUACACAGUAAGUACAUGUACAUGUAACAACAUACAAAAAAGAGCUAUCAUAAAAUGCAACUACCAAGUACUGUAUAAAGACCAUUACAGGAACAGUAUUCAUUUAUCGACACAACCUAUACCACAUUGGUAGCAAACUACUCCCACUGUAUAAAGAUGGGUGUCAACUUUAAAAUGGGCACAGCCUACGAUAUUACCGGUAAAGUAAACAGCAUUAGGGGAUUACCCAGGGAAAACUCUCGCCAACGAAGUGAUAAUAUUAAUAAUUAGAAAAGAAACCAGUUGGCUCAAAAAAUUAGCUGGCCAUAAGCAGAGUAAGGAAGCCUGCCAUUACUAACUAAGAGAAUAAAAAUGAGUGGAAACACAUCAAAUGAAGGAAGAGACAUAGCCAUAGGCGCUGGGGUUGGAGCAGUAACUGGAGUAGGAGGUGUUGCUGCUGGGAUACAAACUGGAGCUGUUGUAGGAUCAUUUGCUGGUCCAGUUGGGUUUGUGGUUGGUGGAGCAGUCGGAGCUGGUGUUGGUGCCAUUGUUGGAUUCUUUGCAUCAAAAUGAUAUCAAAUAUAAUAUGUAUCUGUGUUGCUCUUGAUUGUGUUACCAUUGCUUAGUACAAUGUGUAUAUGCUUAGCAUUUAAAUUAUCUUUUCAAAUGAA